rnacentral:rRNA from 1 species
CUCCUACGGAGGCAGCAGUAAGGAAUAUUGGUCAAUGGGCGGAAGCCUGAACCAGCCAUGCCGCGUGCAGGAAGACGGCCUACGGGUUGUAAACUGCUUUUGCAGGGGAAUAAACCUCAUUACGUGUAAUGAGUUGAAUGUACUCUGACGAAUAAGGAUCGGCUAACUCCGUGCCAGCAGCCGCGGAAUAC